rnacentral:rRNA from 1 species
GAUGAACGCUGGCUGCGUGCCUAAUACAUGCAAGUCGAGCGAACGGACGAGAAGCUUGCUUCUCUGAUGUUAGCGGCGGACGGGUGAGUAACACGUGGAUAACCUACCUAUAAGACUGGGAUAACUUCGGGAAACCGGAGCUAAUACCGGAUAAUAUUUUGAACCGCAUGGUUCAAAAGUGAAAGACGGUCUUGCUGUCACUUAUAGAUGGAUCCGCGCUGCAUUAGCUAGUUGGUAAGGUAACGGCUUACCAAGGCAACGAUGCAUAGCCGACCUGAGAGGGUGAUCGGCCACACUGGAACUGAGACACGGUCCAGACUCCUACGGGAGGCAGCAGUAGGGAAUCUUCCGCAAUGGGCGAAAGCCUGACGGAGCAACGCCGCGUGAGUGAUGAAGGUCUUCGGAUCGUAAAACUCUGUUAUUAGGGAAGAACAUAUGUGUAAGUAACUGUGCACAUCUUGACGGUACCUAAUCAGAAAGCCACGGCUAACUACGUGCCAGCAGCCGCGGUAAUACGUAGGUGGCAAGCGUUAUCCGGAAUUAUUGGGCGUAAAGCGCGCGUAGGCGGUUUUUUAAGUCUGAUGUGAAAGCCCACGGCUCAACCGUGGAGGGUCAUUGGAAACUGGAAAACUUGAGUGCAGAAGAGGAAAGUGGAAUUCCAUGUGUAGCGGUGAAAUGCGCAGAGAUAUGGAGGAACACCAGUGGCGAAGGCGACUUUCUGGUCUGUAACUGACGCUGAUGUGCGAAAGCGUGGGGAUCAAACAGGAUUAGAUACCCUGGUAGUCCACGCCGUAAACGAUGAGUGCUAAGUGUUAGGGGGUUUCCGCCCCUUAGUGCUGCAGCUAACGCAUUAAGCACUCCGCCUGGGGAGUACGACCGCAAGGUUGAAACUCAAAGGAAUUGACGGGGACCCGCACAAGCGGUGGAGCAUGUGGUUUAAUUCGAAGCAACGCGAAGAACCUUACCAAAUCUUGACAUCCUUUGACAACUCUAGAGAUAGAGCCUUCCCCUUCGGGGGACAAAGUGACAGGUGGUGCAUGGUUGUCGUCAGCUCGUGUCGUGAGAUGUUGGGUUAAGUCCUGCAACGAGCGCAACCCUUAAGCUUAGUUGCCAUCAUUAAGUUGGGCACUCUAAGUUGACUGCCGGUGACAAACCGGAGGAAGGUGGGGAUGACGUCAAAUCAUCAUGCCCCUUAUGAUUUGGGCUACACACGUGCUACAAUGGACAAUACAAAGGGCAGCGAAACCGCGAGGUCAAGCAAAUCCCAUAAAGUUGUUCUCAGUUCGGAUUGUAGUCUGCAACUCGACUACAUGAAGCUGGAAUCGCUAGUAAUCGUAGGUCAGCAUGCUACGGUGAAUACGUUCCCGGGUCU